rnacentral:lncRNA from 1 species
CCUACGGCUCUAGUUGAGGUGGUGGCUGCGAAGCCGCAGUCAAAAUAGGAUUCUGUGGGAGUGCCAUUGCAGAAGGCAUAGGCGGCACCAUUGAGGAAACUGUAUGAUGCACCAUUAUAGGGGGUGCAGGGACAAUCUGAGGAGACUGUGGCACUACCUGAAAGGGUGCGAGAAAGGUCUAGACCGCUUGAACUGCAGUCGUCAAAUGUUGAACUUGCUAGAAGAGUUGACCGAAUUGAUUGAUUGUGACUAACAUCGACAGGACUGGUUGAACUGAUGAAGGGACGAUCGAUUGAACCGAUGGAGAGAUUUUCGAUGUCAAUGGUUGAACUUGAUUGUCAGUCUGGCUGGUCGUCUGUCGAAAAAUGGCAGCAUUAGAAAGCCUAAAAGAUGUCCGUCUUGGAGCCAUAAAUACGAAUGUAGGCCUUUUCUCUAUCUAUUACUGUUUAAAUCGAUUAGAGUCGGAAGACGGACAUCUAAAAAUCUCGAAUGGCGAUGCUGAUAUUAGAGUCACCUUCAAAACAAGUCCCAAACUGGAGGUUGU